rnacentral:rRNA from 1 species
UACGUAGGGGGCAAGCGUUGUCCGGAAUUAUUGGGCGUAAAGCGCGCGCAGGCGGCUAUUUAAGUCUGGUGUUUAAACCUUGGGCUCAACCUGAGGUCGCACUGGAAACUGGGUGGCUUGAGUACAGAAGAGGAAAGUGGAAUUCCACGUGUAGCGGUGAAAUGCGUAGAUAUGUGGAGGAACACCAGUGGCGAAGGCGACUUUCUGGGCUGUAACUGACGCUGAGGCGCGAAAGCUAGGGGAGCAAACGGG